GGGGGGACCAUCCUCCAAGGCUAAAUACUCCUGACUGACCGAUAGUGAACCAGUACCGUGAGGGAAAGGCGAAAAGAACCCCGGCGAGGGGAGUGAAAAAGAACCUGAAACCGUGUACGUACAAGCAGUGGGAGCACAGGUUUACCUGUGUGACUGCGUACCUUUUGUAUAAUGGGUCAGCGACUUAUAUUCUGUAGCAAGGUUAACCGAAUAGGGGAGCCGGAGGGAAACCGAGUCUUAAUUGGGCGUUAAGUUGCAGGGUAUAGACCCGAAACCCGGUGAUCUAGCCAUGGGCAGGUUGAAGGUUGGGUAACACUAACUGGAGGACCGAACCGACUAAUGUUGAAAAAUUAGCGGAUGACCUGUGGCUGGGGGUGAAAGGCCAAUCAAACCGGGAGAUAGCUGGUUCUCCCCGAAAGCUAUUUAGGUAGCGCCUCGUGAAUUCAUCUCCGGGGGUAGAGCACUGUUUCGGCUAGGGGGCCAUCCCGGCUUACCAACCCGAUGCAAACUGCGAAUACCGGAGAAUGUUAUCACGGGAGACACACGGCGGGUGCUAACGUCCGUCGUGAAGAGGGAAACAACCCAGACCGCCAGCUAAGGUCCCAAAGUCAUGGUUAAGUGGGAAACGAUGUGGGAAGGCCCAGACAGCCAGGAUGUUGGCUUAGAAGCAGCCAUCAUUUAAAGAAAGCGUAAUAGCUCACUGGUCGAGUCGGCCUGCGCGGAAGAUGUAACGGGGCUAAACCAU
rnacentral:rRNA from 1 species